GAUGAACGCUAGCUACAGGCUUAACACAUGCAAGUCGAGGGGAAACGGCAUCGAAAGCUUGCUUUUGAUGGGCGUCGACCGGCGCACGGGUGAGUAACGCGUAUCCCACCUGCCCAUCACUUGGGAAUAACCUUGCGAAAGUAAGACUAAUGCCCAAUGACAUCCCACGAAGGCAUCCGAAUGGGAUUAAAGAUUUAUCGGUGAUGGAUGGGGAUGCGUCUGAUUAGCUUGUUGGCGGGGUGACGGCCCACCAAGGCAACGAUCAGUAGGGGUUCUGAGAGGAAGGUCCCCCACAUUGGAACUGAGACACAGUCCAAACUCCUACGGGACGCAGCAGUGAGGAAUAUUGGUCAAUGGGCGAGAGCCUGAACCAGCCAAGUAGCGUGCAGGAUGACGGCCCUAGGGGUUGUAAACUGCUUUUAUAAGGGAAUAAAGUGGGUCACGUGUGACUUUUUGCAUGUACCUAAUGAAUAAGGACCGGCUAAUUCCGUG
rnacentral:rRNA from 1 species